GGCCCAGGAGGACCAGCACCAGAGGUGGGGGCACCAAUGCCAGUGUUGGAGGGGUCACUCAGGAUGAAGGUGUGGCCGUAGUUCAGUGAUGUCUGAUCUUCAGUAUCUUCCACCUCCUGCUUUCUGAUGCCGUUGAAAGCUUGAUAGAAAGUCACAUCAUCCCAUUCAGUGGUGGUGAUCUUGUUGUUCCGCAUCCCAGCAAAGGCAUAGAUCAGAACCACCUUUUAGGAGCCCUUACGGUAGAAGAGAAGAACCAUGAACUGUGAGACAAGACUCCAGAUGCCUCUCCCUGAUUCCACCAGAGCACUUCGGGCAUCAUUGAACUACAGUUUUCAUUUAGAAAAGGUUCUGAAACUAUAAAAAGUUUGUAAAUCACAGCUCUAGAACAACUAAUAAACUAUGGCUAUA